GUAGGUGGCAAGCGUUGUUCGGAAUUAUUGGGCGUAAAGCGCGCGCAGGCGGUUCUUUAAGUCUGAUGUGAAAGCCCACGGCUCAACCGUGGAGGGUCACUGGAAACUGGAGAACUUGAGUACAGAAGAGGAAAGCGGAAUUCCACGUGUAGCGGUGAAAUGCGUAGAGAUGUGGAGGAACACCAGUGGCGAAGGCGGCUUUCUGGUCUGUAACUGACGCUGAGGCGCGAAAGCGUGGGGAGCAAACAGGGAUUAGAUACCCUGGUAGUCCACGCCGUAAACGAUGAGUGCUAAGUGUUAGGGGGUUUCCGCCCCCUUAGUGCUGCAGCUAACGCAUUAAGCACUCCGCCUGGGGAGUACGGCCGCAAGGCUG
rnacentral:rRNA from 1 species